rnacentral:lncRNA from 1 species
UCAUUGUGAAGAGUGUUGCUGUAGUGUUCUCUAGAGCUUCAAUGUCUCUGUGGACAUUGUUGUUAAACUCGUGACUAUGUCUAGCUGGUGUUAGUCUUUUUGAGAGACUAUUAGGAACAGUGUGUACAGUAUAUACUUGCUACAUGAGUUACUUAUGACAGUUGCAUCCACUAAUGCUCGCUGAGACUCUGAAACCUGUUCUUUGCUCCCGGACCUUCCUAGGCUUUUUAUCCUUCCGGGUGUCACAGCAGCAGAGUCCCACUUACUAUACUAUCUGCGUUCAGUCCUUUGGGGGGCAUAAACAUUGCGUAUUGUGACACCUGCUGGCAUUUGUGCCCUACUCAAAGAAUUGAAGUCAAAGCUCUCAAGUGAAAUUUUAAAUUUUAGUUCAGAAAAUGCAGGGCAAGACACACGCAGUGCCUUCAGACAAUUAGCAUUCCCUGACUCCUGUACUCUGUAUCAGCCAGUGUGGGCAACUUCAUCCUACGCUACUGUUGUUGGAAAGGAACUUUUCCAAGGCAGAGAUAAUUCGAACUGAAACUGGGAGCAUAGGAACAACUUUAUUUGAAGUGGUGUUCCCCACACAAAUAUCAGGCCUCCAAAGCUCUGUCAUUGUCGGGUGUACAGGAUGGUUUUGUUGUCUUUUGUGGUUUCUAGCCAAACAAGUCAAGUUGAAAAAAGGAAAAAAUGGUAUGGUUGGAAAUGGAUAGAAAACCCAAUGAUUGCAGAAGUAAAAGCGUACAACAGCAUGCCUAAAGUACUAAAUGAUUCACUCUGCCUAGACAAGCUUUCAAAUUCCGCAGCAUUCAGCAACGUGUAUGCAAAUUGCAACAGGCACACUCCAGAACCUGAGAAACCUGACCAGUGCUUAAUUAGGCCAGCAGUCAAAGAGAUUACACCUCGAGUCUAAAGAACAAUACUAUAUCCUAUCAUAGCCAUAAACAAUGUGUGUGAAAUGGCUUACCUCCAAUAUAGAAACCUAUGACCACCUAUGGUUGAAGGGAUGCUCAGUUUCAUUUGCCAAUAAAUUGGUUUCUC